rnacentral:rRNA from 1 species
AACGAACGCUGGCGGCAUGCCUAACACAUGCAAGUCGAACGAGACCUGCGGGUAUUGUGGCGCACGGGUGCGUAACGCGUGGGAACCUGACCUUAGGUUCGGAAUAACUCCCCGAAAGGGGCGCUAAUACCGGAUAAUGUCUUAGGCCCAAAGAUGUAUCUGCUUAGGAUGGGCCCGCGUUGGAUUAGCUAGUUGGUAGCGUAAAAGUCUACCAAGGCGACGUUCCAUAGCUGGUCUGAGAGGAUGACCAGCAACCCUGGGACUGAGACACGGCCCAGACUCCUACGGGAGGCAGCAGGGGGGAAUAUGGGACGAUGGGCGAAAGACGGAUCCAGCAAGGCCGCGUGAGUGAUGAAGGACUUAGGGUUGUUGAGCUCUUUUGACCGGGAUGAUAAUGACAGUACCGGGAGAAUAAGCGCCGGCUAACUCCGUG